rnacentral:rRNA from 1 species
CGGUAACAGGAGAAGCUUGCUUCUCGCUGACGAGCGGCGGACGGGUGAGUAAUACUUAGGAAUCUACCUAGUAGUGGGGGAUAGCACGGGGAAACUCGUAUUAAUACCGCAUACGACCUACGGGAGAAAGGGGGCAGUUUACUGCUCUCGCUAUUAGAUGAGCCUAAGUCGGAUUAGCUAGAUGGUGGGGUAAAGGCCUACCAUGGCGACGAUCUGUAGCUGGUCUGAGAGGAUGAUCAGCCACACCGGGACUGAGACACGGCCCGGACUCCUACGGGAGGCAGCAGUGGGGAAUAUUGGACAAUGGGGGAAACCCUGAUCCAGCCAUGCCGCGUGUGUGAAGAAGGCCUUUUGGUUGUAAAGCACUUUAAGCAGUGAAGAAGACUCCAUGGUUAAUACCCAUGGACGAUGACAUUAGCUGCAGAAUAAGCACCGGCUAACUCUGUGCCAGCAGCCGCGGUAAUACAGAGGGUGCAAGCGUUAAUCGGAAUUACUGGGCGUAAAGGGAGCGUAGGUGGCUCUAUAAGUCAGAUGUGAAAUCCCCGGGCUUAACCUGGGAACUGCAUCUGAAACUGUAGAGCUAGAGUAUGUGAGAGGAAGGUAGAAUUCCAGGUGUAGCGGUGAAAUGCGUAGAGAUCUGGAGGAAUACCGAUGGCGAAGGCAGCCUUCUGGCAUAAUACUGACACUGAGGCUCGAAAGCGUGGGUAGCAAACAGGAUUA